AUGAUGGUGCCAUACAACAGAACGGUUGUCUGUGCAGAACAAUGGCAGAUGCUGCUCUGCUUCGAGUACCUGCCCAAAGGAUCUUGUCGAGUUCAGUGGACCAUGCGUUAUGAAAUAAUUAAGGGGAUAUGCGAGGGUGUACAUUACCUUCAUCAGCAGCGUAUUAUUCACAUGGGCCUCAAACCUCAGAAUGUACCAUUGGAUGAUAACAUGGUGCACAGAAUUGCGGAUUUUGGUCUAUCACGGCGCUUAAGCGAAAGCAAGAGUCGUGCUAUUACUAAAAACACGAUUGGGUCGAAGGGAUAUGUGGCACUAGAAUUUAUAAAUAAGGGAGAAAUCACCUUCAGGACAGACAUAUACUUUGGGAGUUAUAAUUAUGGAUAUCCUUAUGGGACUUAA
rnacentral:rRNA from 1 species